rnacentral:lncRNA from 1 species
GUUGUUGAAGAUUUUGUUUUUCUGUUGUGGGGGCGUCGGCAUCAUGUUGAAGAGCUGUAACAUUUAUCGCGAGAGUCUGUGCCUUUUUUUCUGGACCAGGAACCCGCCGCAAGGAACGAACUCCGGACGUGCUACUUUAAAGAACUAUGGCACACCGGAAGGAACUAAGGACGUGUCACCUUUAAUAGCUGGCCUUUCAAAGUGCGGGGGGAUAACAAGCGGCAG